rnacentral:hammerhead_ribozyme from 1 species
AUCUAGCUGACCAAGUUCAAAUAGAACGAAACGCGCGUCUUGGAU